AAGGGAAUGAAGUUCUCCCUCGGCCUGCCGAAACCGCUGUAUAGAGCUGAUGACUUCUGCGUU
rnacentral:ncRNA from 1 species